GUACCCCAAACCGACACAGGUGGUCGGGUAGAGAAUACCAAGGCGCUUGAGAGAACUCGGGUGAAGGAACUAGGCAAAAUGGUACCGUAACUUCGGGAGAAGGUACGCUCUCGACGGUGAAGUCCCUCGCGGAUGGAGCUAUUGAGAGUCGCAGAUACCAGGUGGCUGCAACUGUUUAUUAAAAACACAGCACUGUGCAAAAUCGUAAGAUGACGUAUACGGUGUGACGCCUGCCCGGUGCCGGAAGGUUAAUUG
rnacentral:rRNA from 1 species